GCAAAUAUUAAUAGACAGAAUCGAAAAACGAAAUUUUGAAAAAAGGAGCGAAAAAGAUCCUCUUUUGUGGCUGCACGACGGGAGAAUUUUCUUUCAUUUCUUUAUUUUGGUCUUUC
rnacentral:ribozyme from 1 species